rnacentral:rRNA from 1 species
UACGGAGGGUGCAAGCGUUACUCGGAAUCACUGGGCGUAAAGAGCGUGUAGGCGGGUUAUUAAGUCAGAAGUGAAAUCCUAUGGCUCAACCAUAGAACUGCUUUUGAAACUGGUAACCUAGAGUAUGGGAGAGGUAGAUGGAAUUUCUGGUGUAGGGGUAAAAUCCGUAGAGAUCAGAAGGAAUACCGAUUGCGAAGGCGAUCUACUGGAACAUUACUGACGCUGAGACGCGAAAGCGUGGGGAGCAAACAGG